CCAAGGAGUCUAACAUGUGCGCGAGUCGUCGGGUCUUGAAUAGGCCCGCAGGCGAAAUGAAAGUGAAGGGCGACCCAGUCGUCGUCUGCGUUGGGAUCCCUGGACCGCAGCGUCCGGGGCGCACCAACGGCCCGUCCCGUCCGCGUCGUCGGUGGGACGGAGCGAGAGCGUACACGUUGGGACCCGAAAGAUGGUGAACUAUGCCUGGGCAGGACGAGGCCAGAGGAAACUCUGGUGGAGGUCCGCAGCGAUUCUGACGUGCAAAUCGAUCGUCAGACCUGGGUAUAGGGGCGAAAGACUAAUCGAACCGUCUAGUAGCUGGUUCCCUCCGAAGUUUCCCUCAGGAUAGCUGGCGCUCGAGGGAGUCAGUCUCAUCCGGUAAAGCGAAUGAUUAGAGGCCUUGGGGCCGAAACGACCUCAACCUAUUCUCAAACUUUCAAUGGGUGAGAAGUCCGGUUUACAUGACUGAAGCCCGGACAAUUCUCAGGAUGCGAGUGCCCAGUGGGCCACUUUU
rnacentral:rRNA from 1 species